rnacentral:ncRNA from 1 species
AAACUGAAGAGUUUGAUCAUGGCUCAGAUUGAACGCUGGCGGCAGGCUUAACACAUGCAAGUCGAGCGGAGGGAGGUGCCUUGGACACUAGCCUAGCGGCGGACGGGUGAGUAAUGCUUAGGAAUCUGCCUAUUAGUGGGGGACAACAUUCCGAAAGGGAUGCUAAUACCGCAUACGCCCUACGGGGGAAAGCAGGGGAUCUUCGGACCUUGCGCUAAUAGAUGAGCCUAAGUCGGAUUAGCUAGUUGGUGGGGUAAAGGCCUACCAAGGCGACGAUCUGUAGCGGGUCUGAGAGGAUGAUCCGCCACACUGGGACUGAGACACGGCCCAGACUCCUACGGGAGGCAGCAGUGGGGAAUAUUGGACAAUGGGCGGAAGCCUGAUCCAGC